UGGCGAACGGGUGAGUAACACGUGGGUGAUCUGCCCUGCACUUUGGGAUAAGCCUGGGAAACUGGGUCUAAUACCGAAUAUACCUCUCCUGCUGCAUGGUGGGUGGGGGAAAGCUUUUGCGGUGUGGGAUGGGCCCGCGGCCUAUCAGCUUGUUGGUGAGGUUACGGCUCACCAAGGCGACGACGGGUAGCCGGCCUGAGAGGGUGAUCGGCCACACUGGGACUGAGAUACGGCCCAGACUCCUACGGGAGGCAGCAGUGGGGAAUAUUGCACAAUGGGCGCAAGCCUGAUGCAGCGACGCCGCGUGGGGGAUGACGGCCUUCGGGUUGUAAACCUCUUUCAGUAGGGACGAAGCGCAAGUGACGGUACCUACAGAAGAAGGACCGGCCAACUACGUGCCAGCAGCCGCGGUAAUACGUAGGGUCCGAGCGUUGUCCGGAAUUACUGGGCGUAA
rnacentral:rRNA from 1 species